rnacentral:rRNA from 2 species
UCGUAACAAGGUUUCCGUAGGUGAACCUGCGGAAGGAUCAUUGUCGAU